CCCGUUCCCUGAAUUGCAGUAAUUCCUCCUUGACAGGAUUGAUGGGGUGAAGAGAAUUGUCUGGAAACUCCAUGGAACAAGGCCUCAUCUGUUUCACCCUUUACCGCACCUCCAGCACCUAGAACAAUGCCAACACGUGGUAGGAGAUCAACAAGUAUUCGUUGAAUGAAUAAACUUUACAUUUCUAUAAUUCUCUUCCAAAAAACAGUUUAUUUUUAAAAAGCUCAACAUUCAAAUACCAACUAAGUAAAGAGACCUAUUAAAGAUGCAAUUAUUUAAAUUACAAGGUGGACUCAUUGAUGUAGGA
rnacentral:lncRNA from 1 species